UACGGGGGGGCAAGCGUUGUUCGGAAUUACUGGGCGUAAAGGGCGCGUAGGCGGCCUGCUAAGUCGGACGUGAAAUCCCUCGGCUCAACCGAGGAACUGCGUCCGAUACUGGUGGGCUUGAAUCCGGGAGAGGGAUGUGGAACUCCAGGUGUAGCGGUGAAAUGCGUAGAUAUCUGGAGGAACACCGGUGGCGAAGGCGGCAUCCUGGACCGACACUGACACUGAGGAGCGAAAGCCAGGGGAGCAAACGGG
rnacentral:rRNA from 1 species